UCAUAGUGCCAUUGAAGAAGAUACUGCCUUUCAAGAUUAAGACAGGACUUCUUAUGGGAUGAUUCUAUUGAGAGUGCAUAAUAGACUACUGGUGAUCGCAUUGCAAGGGCUGCGUAAUGCCCCCUUUCCUACAAUACAAUACGACUGUUUUUGCCCAUAGUCUAAUUUUUUACUAAUUAAAUUAAAUCAAUUUGAGAAGGAAAAAUUACUUGAAUUAUAAUAUCCCUUUCUUAAUAUGGGUUUAUAUUAUAAAUUUUAAUGAAUUUAAGUUAAGACCCUUUAAAGGUUUCAAUUUUAAGGCUUUAAAGGUUUAAUUCCAAUCGAAAGCGACACAACGCGUGGAACGGCGCUUCGCAUGCUCGAUUGUGAAUUGGCUAGCUUUAGAGAAUCCUAACUCGAAAAACAUGCUGUUUAGACCAUAAGUACAUUGAUAUUUUCAACUUGUUUCGAUGCCCGUAUUAGUACGAAGUUUUUCUUCAACCUGUAUAAAUUGCAACAAAUAUUGCGGCUUGUGAUAACGAACAAUAUGACAGUUAGUGAAAGGAACGUGAUGAAUGCACACAUUGUCCAAGAACAGAUCAUUCAAUCGGACAUUAACGAAUGUGACACUUUUGAAUUCCAAAUUAUUAUAAUAUUUAAAUUUAUCUGUGGAGAUCCAGAAUUCGGGUCGAAUGCAAUAUGUCACUCACCGUCUCAUCGAAAAUUACGAAAAGAAUUUGAACGGAGUAACACCUUAAAAGGAAAACAAACGAUAAAAAUAUCGUAUUUCCCGGUCCGUAGAACCUUGUACUCCACAACAUAAAGAAAGAAUAAUAAACGAUAGCAAAAUAUAUGAUCAAACAAAGAGUUGCAUUACGCGCAGGUGUUGCAAAAGACAAAAAG
rnacentral:lncRNA from 1 species